CCCCUCGCUCUCCCUGCUCUGGCCUGGCCGUCCAGCCCCACGGCACCCUGACUCCGGACCUCACCGUGCUGCACUGGCCCGCCCGCCCUCUGCUCCCCUGCAGGGCAGCGGUGAGGAGGGCUCGGUCCAGCAGGCGGCACGAGGCCUGCCUUCCCUCCCACAGACCAGGCCCAGGGCCGCCUCCAGAAAGGGAACAGGAACCGGCCAGAGCCAGAGCGUGUCCUCAGCCCCGAGGCCCUUACCCUCCCGAUGCUCUUAGAAGGAAACGGUGGAAGCUUUCACUACAACAGAAACAGAAAGGACUUGCAGUUUCACAGAAGCAACUGCCAGGCGUGCGGUGAGGACGGGACCAGCCCCAGCGGCC